rnacentral:rRNA from 1 species
AAACUGGAGAGUUUGAUCCUGGCUCAGAACGAACGCUGGCGGCGUGCUUAAGACAUGCAAGUCGAACGGUAAGGCUUGUCACUCUUCGGAGUGACUCGCACACG